rnacentral:rRNA from 1 species
AACGAACGCUGGCGGCAUGCCUAACACAUGCAAGUCGAACGAGACCUUCGGGUCUAGUGGCGCACGGGUGCGUAACGCGUGGGAACCUGCCCUUAGGUUCGGAAUAACUCCCCGAAAGGGGUGCUAAUACCGGAUAAUGUCUUCGGACCAAAGAUUUAUCGCCUUUGGAUGGGCCCGCGUUGGAUUAGCUAGUUGGUAGGGUAAAAGCCUACCAAGGCGACGAGCCAUAGCGGGUCUGAGAGGAUGAUCCGCCACACUGGGACGGAGACACGGCCCAGACAUUGGCAUGAGGCCGCGCCCGGGAUUCUUCGGGGAUGCGCGGAGGGGUAAUUUUGGCAUGUGGCGUAAGGCCAGACCCCCUACUGCCGGUAGAGUGAUGAGGGCUUGGGGGUUGUAACCCUCUUUCACCCGGGAUGUGAAUGACGUUCCCGGGAUAAUAAGCUCCGGCUAACUCCGUG